rnacentral:rRNA from 1 species
UGGGGAAUUUUGCGCAAUGGGCGAAAGCCUGACACAGCGACGCCGCGUGUGCGAUGAAGGCCCUUGGGUCGUAAAGCACUGUCAACAGGGACGAAACCGUCCGUAUUAAUACCACGGACGUUUGACGGUACCUGUAAAGGAAGCACCGGCUAACUCUGUGCCAGCAGCCGCGGUAAUACAGAGGGUGCAAACGUUGUUCGGAAUUACUGGGCGUAAAGCGCGUGUAGGCGGUCCGUUAAGUCGACUGUGAAAGCCCAUGGCUCAACCAUGGAAGUGCAGUCGAUACUGGCAGACUGGAGUCCCGGAGAGGGUGGUGGAAUUCCUAGUGUAGAGGUGAAAUUCGUAGAUAUUAGGAGGAACACCGGUGGCGAAGGCGACCACCUGGACGGGUACUGACGCUGAGACGCGAAAGCGUGGGGAGCAAACAGGAUUAGAUACCCCCGUAGUCC